rnacentral:rRNA from 1 species
GGAAUAUUGGACAAUGGGCGAAAGCCUGAUCCAGCAAUGCCGCGUGAGUGAUGAAGGCCUUAGGGUUGUAAAGCUCUUUUACCAGGGAUGAUAAUGACAGUACCUGGAGAAUAAGCUCCGGCUAACUCCGUGCCAGCAGCCGCGGUAAUACGGAGGGAGCUAGCGUUGUUCGGAAUUACUGGGCGUAAAGCGUACGUAGGCGGUUAUUCAAGUCAGAGGUGAAAGCCUGGAGCUCAACUCCAGAACUGCCUUUGAAACUAGAUAGCUAGAAUCUUGGAGAGGUGAGUGGAAUUCCGAGUGUAGAGGUGAAAUUCGUAGAUAUUCGGAAGAACACCAGUGGCGAAGGCGACUCACUGGACAAGUAUUGACGCUGAGGUACGAAAGCGUGGGGAGCAAACAGGAUUAGAUACCCUGGUAGUCCACGCCGUAAACGAUGAUAACUAGCUGUUCGGGCUCUACGAGCUUGAGUGGCGCAGCUAACGCAUUAAGUUAUCCGCCUGGGGAGUACGGUCGCAAGAUUAAAACUCAAAGGAAUUGACGG